GGCAUAGCGCAGUCUGGUAGCGCAUCUGGUUUGGGACCAGAGGGUCGGGGGUUCGAAUCCCUCUGCC
rnacentral:tRNA from 2 species